UACAGAGGGGGCAAGCGUUGUUCGGAAUUACUGGGCGUAAAGGGCGCGUAGGCGGCCUUCUAAGUCAGACGUGAAAUCCCUCGGCUCAACCGGGGAACUGCGUCUGAGACUGGAAGGCUUGAAUCCGGGAGAGGGAUGUGGAAUUCCAGGUGUGAGCGGUGAAAUGACGUAGAUGUCUGGAGGAACACCGGUGGCGAAGGCGGCAUCCUGGACCGGUAUGACGCUGAGGCGCGAAAGCCAGGGGAGCAAAGCGGGG
rnacentral:rRNA from 1 species